rnacentral:rRNA from 1 species
UACGAAGGGGUCAAGCGUUUAUCGUAGUAACUUGGCGGGUCAGAACGUGUCGUCAGUGUUGGUUGUUAGUUAGUCUUGUUGAGAACCCCCGGGCUCAACCUGGGAAUGGCAAUGGAUACUGGCAAGCUAGAGUGCGGUAGAGGGUAGUGGAAUUCCCGGUGUAGCGGUGAAAUGCGUAGAGAUCGGGAGGAACACCAGUGGCGAAGGCGGCUACCUGGACCAGCACUGACACUGAGGCACGAAAGCGUGGGGAGCAAACAGG